CACAACUUCUGUCCAUGAAUCUUUUUUCACUUGGUUACGGGACUAGAGCGAAUCGUCUCUUGUGCUACGGUCUAAUAUAUGUGUCAAAGAGCGGAUUCUCUUGCAGCGGAUACGGGGCAUGCCCCUGAGCCUAUUGAUUCAAUUCCUAGCAAGUCCUGUCUCUCUCCUUCACUUAAAACACAGCCUAUGAUGAUUCUCAAUUCCUUUUUUUGAAACUUCAGUAGGCUCCCCCUUCUUUGGCGAUAAGGCUCAUCAGUAGAUUGACUACGAGGCCGAAGAGUCUUACUACAGGGGUUACCACUCCUGCAAGACUGAUUUGGGUUCCAGAGUUGUUAUAAGGGCGGGACGGCGAGAGGAGGAAGCUACUACUACCGGGCGAGAUGUUAGUGGAAAAGAAUAG
rnacentral:lncRNA from 1 species